rnacentral:lncRNA from 1 species
AAGAAAGUUGUUCCAUGUAAAAAGCCAAAAUGAUGACUCACGAAUAACGCAUUCUCAUACCCACCAUGACCUGCUAGUUCCAUUAAUUUGCAACUAAUUUGUUACAAGUAAAAGUUGUGUAACAAGAAACAAAAUNCAAGAAACAAAAUCGAAAAAGAAAAAGAGAAGAGCUUGAUGCAUUGCAAGAACUACAAAACAUAUGACCAGUAAGAACUAUUACAAGGUGAAUGCAUACACAGGAAAUCCAUGGAACGCCGGCAUGCCUCUGUCCUCCCGUCGCGAGACGUAACGGAGAUGAUGGCCGCGCAAGCGCAAGCGCAAUUGCUGCAGAUCGAUCACCAAAAGAUCCGUAGAACCGCCAACGCCGCAAACGAGCAUACCGUGAAGUGGACGGUGCGCGGCGCGCUGGAUGGCAUGAACCCGGGGUCCUGCGGGUACAUACGCCCCUUGCCAGGCGCCGAGCCUCCGAUCUGGAUGUACCCUCCUGGCGGCGGCGGGCAGUUGGACACACCGGGGUAGGACGCCGGAGGUGGAGGGCUGUAGU